rnacentral:rRNA from 1 species
CGCACUAGUUCAGAGUUUGAUCCUGGCUCAGGACGAACGCUGGCGGCGUGCUUAACACAUGCAAGUCGAACGGUGAUGCUCCAGCUUGCUGGAGUGGAUCAGUGGCGAACGGGUGAGUAACACGUGAGCAACCUGCCCCAGACUCUGGAAUAAGCGCUGGAAACGGCGUCUAAUACUGGAUACGAAACUGGCCCGCAUGGGCAUGGUUUGGAAAGUUUUUCGGUUUGGGAUGGGCUCGCGGCCUAUCAGCUUGUUGGUGAGGUAAUGGCUCACCAAGGCGACGACGGGUAGCCGGCCUGAGAGGGCGACCGGCCACACUGGGACUGAGACACGGCCCAG